rnacentral:rRNA from 1 species
GACGAACGCUGGCGGCGUGCUUAACACAUGCAAGUCGAACGAAGAGCGAUGGAAGCUUGCUUCUAUCAAUCUUAGUGGCGAACGGGUGAGUAACGCGUAAUCAACCUGCCCUUCAGAGGGGGACAACAGUUGGAAACGACUGCUAAUACCGCAUACGAUCUAAUCUCGGCAUCGAGGAAAGAUGAAAGGUGGCCUCUAUUUAUAAGCUAUCACUGAAGGAGGGGAUUGCGUCUGAUUAGCUAGUUGGAGGGGUAACGGCCCACCAAGGCGAUGAUCAGUAGCCGGUCUGAGAGGAUGAACGGCCACAUUGGGACUGAGACACGGCCCAGACGCCUACGGGAGGCAGCAGUGGGGAAUCUUCCGCAAUGGACGAAAGUCUGACGGAGCAACGCCGCGUGAGUGAUGACGGCCUUCGGGUUGUAAAGCUCGGUUAAUCGGGACGAAAGGCCUUCUUGCGAACAGUUAGAAGGAUUGACGGUACCGGAAUAGAAAGCCACGGCUAACUACGUG